UACGGAGGGGGUUAGCGUUGUUCGGAAUGACUGGGCGUAAAGCGCGCGUAGGCGGGCUGGAAAGUCAGAGGUGAAAGCCCAGGGCUCAACCCCGGAACUGCCUUUGAAACUCCCAGCCUUGAGUUCGAGAGAGGUGGGUGGAAUUCCGAGUGUAGAGGUGAAAUUCGUAGAUAUUCGGAGGAACACCAGUGGCGAAGGCGGCCCACUGGCUCGACACUGACGCUGAGGCGCGAAAGCGCGGGGAGCAAACAGG
rnacentral:rRNA from 1 species